AUUGAACGCUGGCGGCGUGCCUAACACAUGCAAGUCGAGCGGUAACAGGUGUAGCAAUACAUGCUGACGAGCGGCGAACGGGUGAGUAAUGCUUCGGAAUCUGCCCAUGUAGUGGGGAAUAACCAGCCGAAAGGUUGGCUAAUACCGCAUACGACCUACGGGUGAAAGCAGGGGAUCGCAAGACCUUGCGCUAUUGGAUGAGCCGAAGUCGGAUUAGCUAGUUGGUAGGGUAACGGCCUACCAAGGCGACGAUCCGUAGCUGGUCUGAGAGGACGACCAGCCACACUGGGACUGAGACACGGCCCAGACUCCUACGGGAGGCAGCAGUGGGAAUAUUGGACAAUGGGGCAACCCUGAUCCAGCGACGCCGCGUGUGUGAAGAAGGCCUGCGGGUUGUAAAGC
rnacentral:rRNA from 1 species